AUUGAACGCUGGCAGCAUGCCUUACACAUGCAAGUCGAACGGCAGCGGACCUUCGGGUGCCGGCGAGUGGCGAACGGGUGAGUAAUACAUCGGAACGUGCCCGAUCGUGGGGGAUAACGCAGCGAAAGCUGUGCUAAUACCGCAUACGAUCUACGGAUGAAAGCGGGGGACUCGCAAGGGCCUCGCGCGGACGGAGCGGCCGAUGGCAGAUUAGGUAGUUGGUGGGAUAAAAGCUUACCAAGCCGACGAUCUGUAGCUGGUCUGAGAGGACGACCAGCCACACUGGGACUGAGACACGGCCCAGACUCCUACGGGAGGCAGCAGUGGGGAAUUUUGGACAAUGGGCGCAAGCCUGAUCCAGCCAUGCCGCGUGCAGGAUGAAGGGCCUUCGGGUUGUAAACUGCUUUGUACGACGAAAAAGCCUUACUCUAAUAAAGGGGUGAAUGACGGUACCGUAAGG
rnacentral:rRNA from 1 species